rnacentral:snRNA from 14 species
AUACGUACCUGGCAGGGGAUAGCAUGGUCCAAGGAAGCUUUUUAUGGUGGGAGUUCACCAUUAUACUUAGGAUGUAUUGGCACCCUCGUCUUCCCCAAAUGGGAGACAUCAGCUUCAUAAUUAGUGGUGGAAGGAACUGUGCUUUGUGUCUCUCAU